rnacentral:tRNA from 1 species
GCCAGAGUAGCUCAGUUGGUAGAGCGCUUGCCUGAAGAGCAAGAGGUCGCAGUUUCGAAAACUGCCUUUGGCA